rnacentral:rRNA from 1 species
CUUAAUCCGAGACGUGGGGGGGGUGCUACCAUGCAAGUCGAACGGAAUCCGCAAGGAUUUAGUGGCGGACGGGUGAGUAACGCGUGAGAAUCUGCCUACAGGAGGGGGACAACCACUGGAAACGGUGGCUAAUACCCCAUAAGCCGAGAGGUAAAAAGGAAUCCGCCUGUAGAGGAGCUCGCGUCUGAUUAGCUAGUAGGUGAGGUAAGAGCUUACCUAGGCGACGAUCAGUAGCUGGUCUGAGAGGAUGAGCAGCCACACUGGGACUGAGACACGGCCCAGACUCCUACGGGAGGCAGCAGUGGGGAAUUUUCCGCAAUGGGCGAAAGCCUGACGGAGCCAGACCGCGUGAGGGAAGAAGGCCUUUGGGUUGUAAACCUCUUUUCUCAGGGAAGAAGAAAGUGACGGUACCUGAGGAAUCAGCCUCGGCUAACUCCGUGCCAGCAGCCGCGGUAAUA